UACGGGGGGGAGCAAGCGUUGUUCGGAUUUACUGGGCGUAAAGGGCGCGUAGGCGGCCACCGCAAGUCGACUGUGAAAUCUCCGGGCUUAACCCGGAAAGGUCAGCCGAUACUGCGGGGCUAGAGUGCAGAAGGGGCAACUGGAAUUCUCGGUGUAGCGGUGAAAUGCGUAGAUAUCGAGAGGAACACCAGUGGCGAAGGCGACUACCUGGCCUGUUCUUGACGCUGAGGCGCGAAAGCUAGGGGAGCAAACGGG
rnacentral:rRNA from 1 species